UAGGGAAUCUUCCGCAAUGGACGAAAGUCUGACGGAGCAACGCCGCGUGAGUGAAGAAGGAUUUCGGUUCGUAAAACUCUGUUGUUAGGGAAGAAAAAAUGUAUAGUAACUAUAUACAAAAGAGACGGUACCUAACCAGAAAGCCACGGCUAACUACGUGCCAGCAGCCGCGGUAAUACGUAGGUGGCAAGCGUUGUCCUGAAUUAUUAGGCGUAAAGCGCGCGCAGGUGGUUUAGAAAGUCUGAUGUGAAAGCCCACGGCUCAACCGUGGAGGGUCAUUGGAAACUAAUAAACUUGAGUGCAGGAGAGAAAAGUGGAAUUCCUAGUGUAGCGGUGAGAUGCGUAGAGAUUAGGAGGAACACCGGUGGCGAAAGCGGCUUUUUGGCCUGCAACUGACACUGAGGCGCGAAAGCGUGGGGAGCAAACAGG
rnacentral:rRNA from 1 species